rnacentral:rRNA from 1 species
UCGCAUCUACCGAUUGGAUGGUCCGGUGAAGCCUUGGGAUUGUGGUCAGGUUUCUUCAUUGGGAUCUGACCGUGAGAACUUGUCUAAAACCUUAUCAUCUAGAGGAAGGUU